rnacentral:rRNA from 1 species
UGGGGAAUUUUGGACAAUGGGCGCAAGCCUGAUCCAGCCGUGCCGCGUGCGGGAAGAAGGCCUUCGGGUUGUAAACCGCUUUUGUCAGGGAAGAAAUCUUCUGAGUUAAUACCUCGGGAGGAUGACGGUACCUGAAGAAUAAGCACCGGCUAACUACGUGCCAGCAGCCGCGGUAAUACGUAGGGUGCAAGCGUUAAUCGGAAUUACUGGGCGUAAAGCGUGCGCAGGCGGUUUUGUAAGACAGAGGUGAAAUCCCCGGGCUCAACCUGGGAACUGCCUUUGUGACUGCAAGGCUUGAGUGCGGCAGAGGGGGAUGGAAUUCCGCGUGUAGCAGUGAAAUGCGUAGAUAUGCGGAGGAACACCGAUGGCGAAGGCAAUCCCCUGGGCCUGCACUGACGCUCAUGCACGAAAGCGUGGGGAGCAAACAGGAUUAGAUACCCUGGUAGUCCACGCCCUAAACGAUGUCAACUGGUUGUUGGGAAGGUUCCUUCUCAGUAACGUAGCUAACGCGUGAAGUUGACCGCCUGGGGAGUACGGCCGCAAGGUUGAAACUUAAAGGAAUUGACGGGGU